rnacentral:lncRNA from 1 species
CUUGGCCAAGCUCACAUCAAUGUUGCUACACAAAUCACUUUCACAUUUUCUUAUUAGCAUCCUGUGGGGUUGAGGAUUAGCUUCUUUAAACAGCCGUUAUUUAAAUGUCUAAUUCAAAUGCUAACGCACAUGCAAAUGACUGUUACAGGUGUGGCUACAGGGGGAUCAGACUGAGGAAGAAAGCAGCGUGUUUACACCUGGAUAUGUGCUGCGUAUACUCGGGUCAGAUCUCAAGGAGCAGAGGUUAUUCUUCAAGAUUUGUGCCAACUGUAUCACUAGUUAUUCCUCAGCUGAUCUUUCAGCAAUGUCUGCUGUUGAAGUAGGGUGAGUUACUUCUUUUAUAGCUCUCUGUGUGUGGUGGGCAGGAUUUGCUAUCUUUGUAGAGAACAAAUGGCCUGCACAAGUGUAGUAAAACCUGAAAUCAUUAGAGCUGUGGCAUGAGUCUGGCCUGAGUCAUAUCCCUGAUCAAAUCAAAUCAAAUCAAAUAUAUUAAAUACAAAGUGAAAUGAAAUCAAAUAAAACAAAAUGAAAUUUUAAAAAAUAAAUAUAAAGUAUAAAAUGAAUUAAAAUAUAAAAUAACAAAUAAAACAACAUAAAAUAACAAAAAUAUUAUGUAAAAUAGCAACA